rnacentral:lncRNA from 1 species
CUAAGACCAAUUUUUUUUUUUUUUUCAGUAAAAGAUUUGAGAGGGCAUAAUAUUGAAGAGUGGUGGCUUAGUUGCUAAGUUGUGUCUGACUCUUGGCAACGCCAUGGACUGUAGCCUGCCAGGCUCCUCUGUCCAUGGGAUUCUCUAGGCAAGAAUACUGGACUGGGUUGCCAUCUCCUUCUCCAGAGGAUCUUCCUGACCCAGGGAUUGAAUGCUGGUCUCCUGCAUUGCAGGUAGACUCUUUACCAACUGAGCUAGAAGGGAAGCCCGAUAUUGAAGAGAGCCCUCUCCUCAGGAGACAUGGGUGCUGUGAAAGGGAGAAUCCAUUCCAUACAGCCUGGCUUGUCUGGGUUGCCAAAGGAAAAGACCUGCCUGAAGAAUUCCUCUUUUUAAUUUACCACUGGAUUUCAGCCUUCCACCCAAGGCUAGUUGUUUCUCCAAACCAGCUGAAAUCUCUAGUGCCUAGUUGCUUGUAGUAAAGGAUUAAGAGUUCUGAUUGCAAAUGGAGGGAAAUAAAUGUCAAGAUAAAUAAAAUUAAUGCGCUUUGGCAAAUAAAGGAAGCUGGAAAUACCAAAGAGAGAUGAAAUGUUGCUCCCUCCCCCAAACACACAGACUAAAGUCAACUAUGUUUGGCAAUUCUUGCUUCUUCCAGGAAGAAGUCCCUGAAAAUUCUCACAAAACAUCUCAUUCAUUAUUGUAUUUGAAUAAUAAAGUGGCACAUU